rnacentral:misc_RNA from 1 species
CUCUUAUCUGUUCGUUUCGUUUCAAUAUUUUUCCUUUGUUUUCCCGGGACAUUUCCCUUUCUUGUGUAAACUUCUGUGCUAGAAUUUCGCUUUUUAAUCAAAUUUCCUCAUCUGGGUGCAACUGAACUUUUAUCGAUCUUUUUCAGUUCUAUUUUCCCCUGUAAUACAAUGGCGCAAGCAGAGGAGCCUCACCAACAACAGCAGCAUGAGCGCAUGUCUAUGAGCAAUAAUUUCCAUAAAGAUUUGUUGCAAAGUUUCAUGUCUGCGAAUCUUUUCAACCACAAAGUCUC